AACGAACGCUGGCGGCAGGCUUAACACAUGCAAGUCGAACGAGAUCUUCGGAUCUAGUGGCAGACGGGUGAGGAGCACGUGGGAACAUCCCUUUCAGUUCGGAAUAACGUUGGGAAACUAACGCUAAUACCGGAUACGUCCUUCGGGAGAAAGAUUUAUCGCUGAAAGAUUGGCCCGCGUCUGAUUAGCUAGUUGGUGAGGUAACGGCUCACCAAGGCUACGAUCAGUAGCUGAUCUGAGAGAAUGAUCAGCCACAUUGGGACUGAGACACGGCCCAAACUCCUACGGGAGGCAGCAGUGGGGAAUAUUGGACAAUGGGCGCAAGCCUGAUCCAGCCAUGCCGCGUGAGUGAUGACGGCCUUCGGGUUGUAAAGCUCUUUUGUCCGGGAAGAUAAUGACUGUACCGGAAGAAUAAGCCCCGGCAAACUUCGUGCCAGCAGCCGCCGUAA
rnacentral:rRNA from 1 species